CAUUAUGUUCCAGAACACCCAAAAUGUAUAGAGUGGGCGGGGAGUUGUGGGGUGUUACAGUCCUAGUGAAAGUAUUAAUGUCUCUGCACUUUUUGGGUAUUCUAGCAGUAAUACUCCGUGUCACACAAAAGGAGUUUGACUGCAAAGGAACCUUAACUAUGGUCUGCACCCCCUGGAGUAGCUGACUGCAUGCUCCCUCCAUCUUCACGCUCCC